rnacentral:rRNA from 1 species
UCAAGCGACUAAGUGUAUGUGGUGGAUGCCUUGGCGAUCACAGGCGAUGAAGGACGUGACAGCCUGCGAAAAGCUGUGGGGAGCUGGCAAAUAAGCUUUGAUCCACAGAUGUCCGAAUGAGGGAACUCACCUGCUUUGCAGGUAUCCCAUUCUGAAUAUAUAGGGAUGGGAGGCGAACGAAGCGAACUGAAACAUCUAAGUAGCUUCAGGAAAAGAAAUCAACCGAGAUUCCGAAAGUAGCGGCGAGCGAAAUCGGAUCAGCCCAGCACUCGAUAGCAGCCAACUUACGGGAACGGUCUGGAAAGUCCGGCCAUAGAGGGUGAUAGCCCCUUACUGGAAAAGGCAGCUGUGGUACUAAGUGUGCGAUAAGUAGAGCGGGACACGUGACAUCCUGCUCGAAGAUGGGGGGACCAUCCUCCAAGGCUAAAUACUCGUGAUCGACCGAUAGCGUACCAGUACUGUGAAGGAAAGGUUAAAAGAACCCCGGGAGGGGAGUGAAAUAGAUCCUGAAACCGCAUACAUACAAACAGUAGGAGCCUCGUUAAGGGGUGACUGCGUACCUUUUGCAUAAUGGGUCAGCGACUUACGUUUAAUGGCGAGCUUAACCGUAUAGGGGAGGCGCAGCGAAAGCGAGUUCGAACAGAGCGUUCAGUCGUUAGGCGUAGACCCGAAACCAGAUGAUCUAUCCAUGGCCAGGUUGAAGGUGUGGUAACACACACUGGAGGACCGAACCGACUAGUGUUGCAAAAUUAGCGGAUGAGCUGUGGAUAGGGGUGAAAGGCUAAACAAAUCUGGAGAUAGCUGGUUCUCCCCGAAAACUAUUGAGGUAGUGCCUCGUGUAUGACUCCAGGGGGUAGAGCACUGUUAUGGCUAGGGGGACAUGGCGUCUUACCAAACCAUGGCAAACUCCGAAUACUUGGAAGUUUGAGCACGGGAGACAGAGCACCGGGUGCUAACGUCCGGACUCAAGAGGGAAACAACCCAGACCGCCGGCUAAGGUCCCUAAUAUUGACUAAGUGGAAAACGAAGUGGAAAGGCUAAGACAGUCAGGAAGUUGGCUUAGAAGCAGCCAUCCUUCAAAGAAAGCGUAAUAGCUCACUGAUCGAGUCUUUCUGCGCGGAAGAUGUAACGGGGCUAAGUCAAUAACCGAAGCCGCGGAUUCACACUUAUGUGUGAGUGGUAGGGGAGCGUUCUGUAAGCCUGCGAAGGUGACUCGUAAGGGUUGCUGGAGGUAUCAGAAGUGCGAAUGCUGACAUGAGUAACGUUAAAGCGGGUGAAAAGCCCGCUCGCCGUAAGCCCAAGGUUUCCUGCUCUACGUUCAUCGGAGCAGGGUGAGUCGGCCCCUAAGGUGAGGCUGAGAAGCGUAACUGAUGGGAACAAGGUUAAUAUUCCUUGACCACCGCUGAAUGCGAAGGGGGGACGGAGUAUUGAAGAUCAUCCGGGUGUUGGAUAUCCCGGUUUGCGAGCGUAGGAGGCUGACAGGCAAAUCCGUCAGCGGAUCUCCGAGGCGAAGCAUCGAGCUCUCUUUUGAGCGAAGUGAUUGGAUGUGCUUCCAGGAAAAGCCUCUAAGCUCCAGUUCAGCGGGACCGUACCGCAAACCGACACUGGUGGGCGAGCUGAAUAUGCUCAGGCGCUUGAGAGAACUCAGGAGAAGGAACUCGGCAAAUUGACACCGUAACUUCGGGAUAAGGUGUGCCUUUGUAGCGUGGAGGGAGAAACACCCCGAGCGCGAAGAGGUCUCAGAUAAUCGGUGGCUGCGACUGUUUAUUAAAAACACAGCACUCUGCAAAGACGAAAGUCGACGUAUAGGGUGUGAUGCCUGCCCGGUGCUGGAAGAUUAAUUGAUGGGGUGCAAGCUCCUGAUCGAAGUCCCAGUAAACGGCGGCCGUAACUAUAACGGUCCUAAGGUAGCGAAAUUCCUUGUCGGGCAAGUUCCGACCUGCACGAAUGGCAUAACGAUGGCCACACUGUCUCCUCCUGAGACUCAGUGAAGUUGAAGUGUUUGUGAUGAUGCAAUCUCCCCGCGGCUAGACGGAAAGACCCCAUGAACCUUUACUGUAGCUUUGCAUUGGACUUUGAACCGAUCUGUGUAGGAUA